rnacentral:rRNA from 1 species
ACGGUUACCUUGUUACGACUUAGCCCCAGUCACCGGUUUUACCUUAGGGCGCUCCUUGCGGUUGCACACUUCAGGCACUCCCGGCUUCCAUGGCUUGACGGGCGGUGUGUACAAGGCCCGGGAACGUAUUCACCGCGCCGUGGCUGAUGCGCGAUUACUAGCGAAUCCAGCUUCAUGGAGUCGGGUUGCAGACUCCAAUCCGAACUGAGACAGGCUUUGAAGUUCCGCUCUGCGUCGCCGCAUCGCUUCUCUCUGUACCUGCCAUUGUAACACGUGUGUCGCCCCGGACGUAAGGGCCGUGCUGAUUUGACGUCAUCCCCGCCUUCCUCACAGCUUGCGCCGGCAGUCUCGCCAGAGUCCCCAACUUUACUUGCUGGUAACUGGCGAUGGGGGUUGCGCUCGUUAUGGCACUUAAGCCGACACCUCACGGCACGAGCUGACGACAACCAUGCAGCACCUCGACGGAUGCCCCGAAGGGCUGCCUUCUUUCAAAAACAUCCAUCCGUCGUUUGAGCCCGGGUAAGGUUCCUCGCGUAUCAUCGAAUUAAACCACAUGUUCCUCCGCUUGUGCGGGCCCCCGUCAAUUCCUUUGAGUUUCACCGUUGCCGGCGUACUCCCC